UACGUAGGGGGCUAGCGUUGUCCGGAUUUAUUGGGCGUAAAGGGCGCGUAGGCGGCCUGUUAAGUCGAACGUGAAAUCCCCGGGCUCAACCCGGGAACUGCGUCCGAUACUGGCAGGCUUGAAUCCGGGAGAGGGAUGCGGAAUUCCAGGUGUAGCGGUGAAAUGCGCAGAUAUCAGGAGGAACACCGGUGGCGAAGGCGGAUCUCUGGGCCUUACCUGACGCUGAGGCGCGAAAGCUAGGGGAGCAAACAGG
rnacentral:rRNA from 1 species